AACUCAAGGCUCAACUUGAGCGUGCUCCGAUACGGGCGGACUAGAGUAUGCAGGGAGACGGAAUCCUGGUGUAGCGGUGGAUGCGCAGAUAUCAGGAGGACACCGGUGGCGAAGCGGUCUCUGGGCAUUACUGACGCUGAGGAGCGAAAGCAUGGGGAGCGAACAGGAUUAGAUACCCUGGUAGUCCAUGCCGUAAACGUUGGGCGCUAGGUGUGGGGACCUUCCACGGUUUCCGUGCCGCAGCUAACGCAUUAAGCGCCCCGCCUGGGGAGUACGGCCGCAAGGCUAAAACUCAAAGGAAUUGACGGGGGCCCGCACAAGCGGCGGAGCAUGCUGAUUAAUUCGAUGCAACGCGAAGAACCUUACCUAGGUUUGACAUAUAGAGAAAACUUACAGAGAUGUAAGGUCCUUUUGGGCUCUAUACAGGUGGUGCAUGGCUGUCGUCAGCUCGUGUCGUGAGAUGUUGGGUUAAGUCCCGCAACGAGCGCAACCCUCGUCCUAUGUUGCCAGCACGUAAUGGUGGGGACUCAUAGGAGACUGCCGGGGUCAACUCGGAGGAAGGUGGGGAUGACGUCAAGUCUUCAUGCCCCCUAUGCCUAGGGCUUCAAGCAUGCUACAAUGGCCGGUACAAAGGGCUGCGAAACAGCAAUGUGGAGCGAAUCCCAAAAAGCCGGUCUCAGUUCGGAUUGGGGUCUGCAACUCGACCCCAUGAAGUCGGAGUCGCUAGUAAUCGCAGAUCAGCAACGCUGCGGUGAAUACGUUCCCGGGCCUUGUACACACCGCCCGUCACGUCAUGAAAGUCGGCAACACCCGAAGCCGGUGGCCCAACCCUUGUGGAGGGAGCCGUCGAAGGUGGGGCUGGCGAUUGGGACGAAGUCGUAACAAGGUAACCAAGGG
rnacentral:rRNA from 1 species